rnacentral:lncRNA from 1 species
UUUCUGAUACCCAUUGUUGAGUGAAAUCUCCAACAGAGGCGGCAUCGGUGGAAUUUGGACUUCAAAUGGUGGGGAGGCAUUGUAAUGCUAAGGUGAUGGUGGAGAUGGUUUGCAGCAGCUAGAGGAGAAUCAUACAGAGAUUGGAAUUUUUUAUCGGAGUAUUCGUAAUUUGUUGGCUAAGUUUGAUUCAAGUUCGUAGAGACAUGUUAGAAGGGAAGCAAACAAAGCAGCUCAAAUUAUUAUUUAUAAAAAUGUUAAUUGGGAUGCUCCUAUAAUUUGGUGGAUAGACCAUAAAUGUUUGAUGAUGUAAUGCCUAUUGGAGAAAAAAGAAAAAAAAGAUUUUAAAAUAAAAUUUAAUAAUUAUAUUUUUUAUAAAUUA